AACGAACGCUGGCGGCAGGCCUAACACAUGCAAGUCGAACGUGAAGCCACCUUCGGGUGGUGGAAAGUGGCAGACGGGUGAGUAACGCGUGGGAACGUGCCUUUCGGUUCGGGAUAACCCAGGGAAACUUGGGCUAAUACCGGAUGCGCCCUCCGGGAGAAAGAUUCAUUGCCGAAAGAUCGGCCCGCGUCGGAUUAGCUAGUUGGUGGGGUAAAAGCCUACCAAGGCGACGAUCCGUAGCUGGUCUGAGAGGAUGACCAGCCACACUGGGACUGAGACACGGCCCAGACUCCUACGGGAGGCAGCAGUGGGGAAUAUUGGACAAUGGGCGCAAGCCUGAUCCAGCCAUGCCGCGUGGGUGAAGAAGGCCCUAGGGUUGUAAACCCCUUUCAGCGGGGAAGAUAAUGACGGUACCCGCAGAGGAAGCCCCGGCUAACUCCGUGCCAGCCGCCGCCGUAAGAC
rnacentral:rRNA from 1 species